rnacentral:rRNA from 1 species
GACGAACCGUGCAACCGUUGUUCGGAAUCACUGGGCUUAAAGGGCGCGUAGGCGGCUUGUCAAGUCAGGGGUGAAAUCUUUCGGCUUAACCGGAAAAGUGCCUUUGAUACUGACAGGCUCGAGGGAGGUAGGGGUAUGUGGAACUUCUGGUGGAGCGGUGAAAUGCGUUGAUAUCAGAAGGAACGCCGGUGGCGAAAGCGACGUACUGGACCUCUUCUGACGCUGAGGCGCGAAAGCUAGGGGAGCAAACGGG